rnacentral:tRNA from 1 species
GGGAGUAUAGUUUAGUGGCAGAGCACCUGCUUGGUGUGCUUGACGUCCUGGGUUCAAUCCCCAGUGCCUCA